rnacentral:piRNA from 1 species
UCCCUUAGCCUAGGGUACUUUGUUAGAGC